AAAGACUUGGUCCUAAUCUUAUUAUCAGCUUUUCCUAAACUUACACAUGCAAGUCUCAGCACACCAGUGAGGACGCCCUUUCCCCUGAACCAGGAUAAGGAGCUGGUAUCAGGCACAAAACUUGCCCAUUACACCUAGUCCCACCACGCCCCCAAGGGCUCUCAGCAGUGAUAAAUAUUGUCUAUAAGCGACAGCUUGAAUCAGCUACAGGAAAAAGAGCUGGCCAACUCGGUGCCAGCCGCCGCGGCUAGACCGCACGAGCUCAAGUUGAUAAGCAUCGGCGUUAAGCGUGAUUAAAGACCACUUUAACUAGAAUAAAAUCUACACUUAGCUGUAAUAAGCUUGCUGUUAGAGAAGACCAAAAACGAAAGUUGUUCUAGUCAACUUGAACCCACGAUAGUCAGGAAACAAACUGGGAUUAGAUACCCCACUAUGCCUGACCGUAAAACAACUUACACCACCAACGCCAGGGUACUACGAGCCCAGCUUAAAACCCAAAGGACUUGACGGUGUCCCACCCAACUAGAGGAGCCUGUUCUAUAAUCGAUGAUCCCCGAUUUACCCAACCCCAUCUUGCUAAUCAGCCUGUAUACCUCCGUCGUAAGCUUACCAUGUGAAUGUUCACAGUAGGUGUAAUGGUCUUACACCAAUACGUCAGGUCAAGGUGCAGCUUAUGAUGUGGAAAGCAAUGGGCUACAAUUUCUAAAAUAGAACACACGAAACACUACAUGAAACACAGCUAUGAAGGCGGAUUUAGUAGUAAAAAGGAAAUAAUGUGUCCUUUUUAACAAGGCCCUGGGACGUGUACACACCGCCCGUCACCCUCUUCAAUAGUUCAUAAUCUGUUUUUAACAAUCACACACGCCUUAGAAGAGGCAAGUCGUAACAUGGUAAGUGUACCGGAAGGUGCGCUUGGAUUAA
rnacentral:ncRNA from 1 species